CGGACUGUAGGCUGCAACUCGCCUACACGAAGCUGGAAUCGCUAGUAAUCGCGGAUCAGCACGCCGCGGUGAAUACGUUCCCGGGCCUUGUACACACCGCCCGUCACACCAUGAGAGUCUGUAACACCCAAAGCCGGUGGGAUAACCUUUAUAGGAGUCAGCCGUCUAAGGUAGGACAGAUGAUUAGGGGUGAAGUCGUAACAAGGUAGC
rnacentral:rRNA from 1 species